AGGAAAUAGAUACCCGGGUAGUCCACGCCGUAAACGAUGGAUACUUGUUGUUGGAGGUAUUGACCCCUUCAGUGACGAAAGCUAAACGCGUUAAAGUAUCCCGCCUGGGGAGUACGGCCGCAAGGUUAAAACUCAAAGAAAUUGACGGGGGCCCGCACAAGCGGUGGAGCAUGUGGUUCAAUUCGAUGCAACGCGCAGAACCUUACCUGGGUUUGACAUGUAUUGGAAGGCUACCAGAGAUGGUGCCGCCCGCAAGGGCCGAUACACAGGUGCUGCAUGGCUGUCGUCAGCUCGUGUCGUGAGAUGUUGGGUUAAGUCCCGCAACGAGCGCAACCCCGUAUGUUUAGUUGCCAGCAUUCAGUUGGGCACUCUAGACAGACUGCCGACGUUAAGUCGGAGGAAGGUGGGGAUGACGUCAAGUCCUCAUGGCCUUUAUAUCCAGGGCUACACACGUGCUACAAUGGUUGGUACAAAGGGUAAGCAAGAGUGCGAACUGGAGCAAACCCCGAUAAAACCCGAAUCUAAGUUCGGAUCGAAGUCUGCAACUC
rnacentral:rRNA from 1 species